rnacentral:rRNA from 1 species
CAGUAGCCGCGGUAAAACGUAGGUGGCAAGCGUUGUCCGGAAUUAUUGGGCGUAAAGGGCUCGCAGGCGGUUUCUUAAGUCUGAUGUGAAAGCCCCCGGCUCAACCGGGGAGGGUCAUUGGAAACUGGGAAACUUGAGUGCAGAAGAGGAGAGUGGAAUUCCGCGUGUAGCGGUGAAAUGCGUAGAGAUGUGGAGGAACACCAGUGGCGAAGGCGACUCUCUGGUCUGUAACUGACGCUGAGGAGCGAAAGCGUGGGGAGCGAACAGGAUUAGAUUACCCGCGUAAGUCCCUGUCUCUUAU